rnacentral:rRNA from 1 species
UUGCCAGCCCGCUCAGUCAGAGUUUGAUCCUGGCUCAGAUUGAACGCUGGCGGCAUGCCUUACACAUGCAAGUCGAACGGCAGCACGGACUUCGGUCUGGUGGCGAGUGGCGAACGGGUGAGUAAUAUAUCGGAACAUACCCAGUAGUGGGGGAUAACUAUCCGAAAGGAUAGCUAAUACCGCAUACGAUCUGUGGAUGAAAGCAGGGGAUCUUCGGACCUUGUGCUAUUGGAAUGGCCGAUAUCUGAUUAGCUAGUUGGUAGGGUAAAAGCCUACCAAGCGACGAUCAGUAGCUGGUCUGAGAGGACGACCAGCCACACCGGAACUGAGACACGGUCCAG